rnacentral:rRNA from 1 species
AUUGAACGCUGGCGGCAGGCCUAACACAUGCAAGUCGAACGAGUGGCGAGCGGGUGAGUAAUGUCUGGGCAACUGCCUGGUGGAGGGGGAUAACUACUGGAACCGGUAGCUGAUACCGCAUACCAUCGGCUAUGCCCAGAUGGGCUUAGCUAGUAGGUGGUGUAACGGCUCACCUAGGCGACGAUCCCUAGCUGGUCUGAGAGGAUGACAAGCCACACGGGAACGGAGCCACGGUCAAGAGUCCUACGGGAGGCAGCAGUGGGGAACAGUGCACAAUGGGAGCAAGCCUGAUACAGCCAUGCCGCGUGUAUGAAGAAGGCCUUGGGGGUGUAAAGUACUUUCAGCGGUGAGGCGUUACCCGCAGAAGAAGCACCGGCUAACUCCGUGCCAGCAGCCGCGGUAAUAC